GGGGCUGUGGCUCAGUGGAAGAGUGUUCGCUUGGUAUGCAGAAGGUUCUAGGUUCGAUCCCUAGCAUCUCCA